GGUGGUGUCGUUAAUAGCGGCAUCAUUUUGACGUUAGCAACAGAAGAAGCACCGGCUAACUCCGUGCCAGCAGCCGCGGUAAUACGGAGGGUGCGAGCGUUAAUCGGAAUUACUGGGCGUAAAAGCGCAUGCAGGUGGUUUGUUAAGUCAGAUGUGAAAAAGCCCGGGCUCAAACCUCGGAAACUGCAUUUUGAAAACUGGCAGACUAGAGUACUGUAGAGGGGGUAGAAUUUCAGGUGUAGCGGUGAAAAUGCGUAGAGAUCUGAAGGAAUACCGGUGGCGAAGGCGGCCCCUGGACAGAUACUGACACUCAGAUGCGAAAGCGUGGGGAGCAAACAGGAUUAGAUACCCUGGUAG
rnacentral:rRNA from 1 species